rnacentral:rRNA from 1 species
GUGAACGCUGGCGGUAGGCCUAACACAUGCAAGUCGAACGGCAGCACAGAGGAGCUUGCUCCUUGGGUGGCGAGUGGCGGACGGGUGAGGAAUACAUCGGAAUCUACUCUGUCGUGGGGGAUAACGUAGGGAAACUUACGCUAAUACCGCAUACGACCUACGGGUGAAAGCAGGGGAUCUUCGGACCUUGCGCGAUUGAAUGAGCCGAUGUCGGAUUAGCUAGUUGGCGGGGUAAAGGCCCACCAAGGCGACGAUCCGUAGCUG